rnacentral:rRNA from 1 species
GGGGGGGGGCAAGCGUUGUUCGGAAUUACUGGGCGUAAAGGGCGCGCAGGCGGCGGGAAAGUCUCUCGUGAAAUCCCACGGGCUCAACCGUGGAAUUGCGGGAGAUACUACUCGUCUUGAGUUCGGGAGAGGAGUGUGGAAUUCCCAGUGUAGCGGUGAAAUGCGUAGAUAUUGGGAGGAACACCGGUGGCGAAGGCGGCACUCUGGACCGAUACUGACGCUGAGGCGCGAAAGCUAGGGGAGCAAACGGGAUUAGAUACCCCGGUAGUCCUAGCUGUAAACGCUGAGCACUUGGUGUAGCGGGUAUCGACCCCUGCUGUGCCGAAGCUAACGCAUUAAGUGCUCCGCCUGGGGAGUACGGUCGCAAAGGCUG